rnacentral:rRNA from 1 species
UAACAAUUGGAGGGCGAGUCUGGUGCCAGCAGCCGCGGUAAUUCCAGCUCCAAUAGCGUAUAUUAAACUUGUUGCAGUUAAGAAGCUCGUAGUUGAAUUUUUGCGUGGUGUUAAUAUUGACUGAUGUCGAGAUUGCACUUCGCUUUUGGGAUUUUUCCCAUUUUACUUUGAGAAAAUUAGAGUGUUUCAAGCAGACUUUUGUCUUGAAUACUUCAGCAGGGAAUAAUAGAGUAGGACUUUGGUUCUAUUUUGUUGGUUUGUGAACCUUAGUAAUGGUUAAUAGGAACGGUUGGGGGCAUUCGUAUUUAACUGUCAGAGGUGAAAUUCUUAGAUUUGUUAAAGACGAACUACUGCGAAAGCAUUUGCCAAGGACGUUUUCAUUAAUCAAGAACGAAAGUUAGGGGAUCGAAGACGAUCAGAUACCGUCGUAGUCCUAACCAUAAACUAUGCCGACUAGGGAUUGGAGGUCGUCAUUUUUCCGACUCCUUCAGCACCUU